AAUUUUCUAGAUCUAGACAGCACGGUUCAAAAAAUGGAGAUCUCCAUCUGAAAGCUUUUUGAUGAAAAACGUUUCUUGCUUAAGCGGGGAGACCUAGAGAUGCUCUAGAGACUUUAAGUGGGGCACAAUCAUCCAGCUUCUCUCGGUAGUCAUUUACUGAGGAUCAGACUGAGAAGAGACAUCAGCUGUUUCUGAAUGUAGACACGGAGUGUCCCUUCGAACACAUCUCCAGUUCAAGUCUUCGCUCCUGCCCAUCUCUCCCCGUUACGAGAAGACGGAGCUGCUGACUGGCCUCUGGCGUUUCCUCCUUUGGACAUGGCUCUGCUGGACUCCUCCCUUUCAAUAUUUUCAUAUUCCCCCCUUCUCAGAAGGGAAUGUGAUUUUAGGGUUCAUUUUAUGCAUGCGGUUUUAACCACCCUUUGGUGACAAUAACAGAGGAAAGACCUGUAGCUAGUGUCCCAAGAAGUGCCUACUCAUCUUGUGUUCUCCACAGAAAAUAGCAAGGAAGGCCCCACCCCCAGCCGCCAAUCUUCUUCCUACCUUGUCACACCGUGAACCGAGGGCACGGAACAUCUGACCUGACCCUUGUUUACUGCAGCUGAACUGCAACUGUGGCCUCGGAGAAGCCAGAAGGCCUGAAUUAAAGGCUGUUACUGAAGCCAGAAGGUUGCAAUCAGGAGUUGGCUGGUGAGGCUACGGGUCACCAACAGGGUCACCCUUGACUUAUU
rnacentral:lncRNA from 1 species